UUAAGCGACUAAGCGUACACGGUGGAUGCCCUGGCAGUCAGAGGCGAUGAAGGACGUGCUAAUCUGCGAUAAGCGUCGGUAAGGUGAUAUGAACCGUUAUAACCGGCGAUUUCCGAAUGGGGAAACCCAGUGUGAUUCGUCACACUAUCAUUAACUGAAUCCAUAGGUUAAUGAGGCGAACCGGGGGAACUGAAACAUCUAAGUACCCCGAGGAAAAGAAAUCAACCGAGAUUCCCCCAGUAGCGGCGAGCGAACGGGGAGGAGCCCAGAGCCUGAAUCAGUGUGUGUGUUAGUGGAAGCGUCUGGAAAGGCGCGCGAUACAGGGUGACAGCCCCGUACACAAAAAUGCACAUACUGUGAGCUCGAUGAGUAGGGCGGGACACGUGGUAUCCUGUCUGAAUAUGGGGGGACCAUCCUCCAAGGCUAAAUACUCCUGACUGACCGAUAGUGAACCAGUACCGUGAGGGAAAGGCGAAAAGAACCCCGGCGAGGGGAGUGAAAAAGAACCUGAAACCGUGUACGUACAAGCAGUGGGAGCCUCUUUAUGGGGUGACUGCGUACCUUUUGUAUAAUGGGUCAGCGACUUAUAUUCUGUAGCAAGGUUAACCGAAUAGGGGAGCCGAAGGGAAACCGAGUCUUAACUGGGCGUUAAGUUGCAGGGUAUAGACCCGAAACCCGGUGAUCUAGCCAUGGGCAGGUUGAAGGUUGGGUAACACUAACUGGAGGACCGAACCGACUAAUGUUGAAAAAUUAGCGGAUGACUUGUGGCUGGGGGUGAAAGGCCAAUCAAACCGGGAGAUAGCUGGUUCUCCCCGAAAGCUAUUUAGGUAGCGCCUCGUGAAUUCAUCUCCGGGGGUAGAGCACUGUUUCGGCAAGGGGGUCAUCCCGACUUACCAACCCGAUGCAAACUGCGAAUACCGGAGAAUGUUAUCACGGGAGACACACGGCGGGUGCUAACGUCCGUCGUGAAGAGGGAAACAACCCAGACCGCCAGCUAAGGUCCCAAAGUCAUGGUUAAGUGGGAAACGAUGUGGGAAGGCCCAGACAGCCAGGAUGUUGGCUUAGAAGCAGCCAUCAUUUAAAGAAAGCGUAAUAGCUCACUGGUCGAGUCGGCCUGCGCGGAAGAUGUAACGGGGCUAAACCAUGCACCGAAGCUGCGGCAGCGACGCUUAUGCGUUGUUGGGUAGGGGAGCGUUCUGUAAGCCUGUGAAGGUGUACUGUGAGGUAUGCUGGAGGUAUCAGAAGUGCGAAUGCUGACAUAAGUAACGAUAAAGCGGGUGAAAAGCCCGCUCGCCGGAAGACCAAGGGUUCCUGUCCAACGUUAAUCGGGGCAGGGUGAGUCGACCCCUAAGGCGAGGCCGAAAGGCGUAGUCGAUGGGAAACAGGUUAAUAUUCCUGUACUUGGUGUUACUGCGAAGGGGGGACGGAGAAGGCUAUGUUGGCCGGGCGACGGUUGUCCCGGUUUAAGCGUGUAGGCUGGUUUUCCAGGCAAAUCCGGAAAAUCAAGGCUGAGGCGUGAUGACGAGGCACUACGGUGCUGAAGCAACAAAUGCCCUGCUUCCAGGAAAAGCCUCUAAGCAUCAGGUAACAUCAAAUCGUACCCCAAACCGACACAGGUGGUCAGGUAGAGAAUACCAAGGCGCUUGAGAGAACUCGGGUGAAGGAACUAGGCAAAAUGGUGCCGUAACUUCGGGAGAAGGCACGCUGAUAUGUAGGUGAAGCGACUUGCUCGUGGAGCUGAAAUCAGUCGAAGAUACCAGCUGGCUGCAACUGUUUAUUAAAAACACAGCACUGUGCAAACACGAAAGUGGACGUAUACGGUGUGACGCCUGCCCGGUGCCGGAAGGUUAAUUGAUGGGGUUAGCGGUAACGCGAAGCUCUUGAUCGAAGCCCCGGUAAACGGCGGCCGUAACUAUAACGGUCCUAAGGUAGCGAAAUUCCUUGUCGGGUAAGUUCCGACCUGCACGAAUGGCGUAAUGAUGGCCAGGCUGUCUCCACCCGAGACUCAGUGAAAUUGAACUCGCUGUGAAGAUGCAGUGUACCCGCGGCAAGACGGAAAGACCCCGUGAACCUUUACUAUAGCUUGACACUGAACAUUGAGCCUUGAUGUGUAGGAUAGGUGGGAGGCUUUGAAGUGUGGACGCCAGUCUGCAUGGAGCCGGCCUUGAAAUACCACCCUUUAAUGUUUGAUGUUCUAACGUUGGCCCCUGAUCGGGGUUGCGGACAGUGUCUGGUGGGUAGUUUGACUGGGGCGGUCUCCUCCUAAAGAGUAACGGAGGAGCACGAAGGUUGGCUAAUCCUGGUCGGACAUCAGGAGGUUAGUGCAAUGGCAUAAGCCAGCUUGACUGCGAGCGUGACGGCGCGAGCAGGUGCGAAAGCAGGUCAUAGUGAUCCGGUGGUUCUGAAUGGAAGGGCCAUCGCUCAACGGAUAAAAGGUACUCCGGGGAUAACAGGCUGAUACCGCCCAAGAGUUCAUAUCGACGGCGGUGUUUGGCACCUCGAUGUCGGCUCAUCACAUCCUGGGGCUGAAGUAGGUCCCAAGGGUAUGGCUGUUCGCCAUUUAAAGUGGUACGCGAGCUGGGUUUAGAACGUCGUGAGACAGUUCGGUCCCUAUCUGCCGUGGGCGCUGGAGAACUGAGGGGGGCUGCUCCUAGUACGAGAGGACCGGAGUGGACGCAUCACUGGUGUUCGGGUUGUCAUGCCAAUGGCACUGCCCGGUAGCUAAAUGCGGAAGAGAUAAGUGCUGAAAGCAUCUAAGCACGAAACUUGCCCCGAGAUGAGUUCUCCCUGAGACUUUAAGUCUCCUGAAGGAACGUUGAAGACGACGACGUUGAUAGGCCGGGUGUGUAAGCGCAGCGAUGCGUUGAGCUAACCGGUACUAAUGAACCGUGAGGCUUAACCUU
rnacentral:rRNA from 2 species